UGGCUACACACAGAAGUUGUGCCGCA
rnacentral:piRNA from 1 species